UUAAAUUGAAGAGUUUGAUCAUGGCUCAGAUUGAACGCUGGCGGCAGGCCUAACACAUGCAAGUCGAACGGUAACAGGAAACA
rnacentral:rRNA from 1 species